rnacentral:tRNA from 1 species
GGAUAAGUGGUCGAGUGGUUUAUGGCACCAGUUUUGAAAACUGACGUAGUAAAAGCUACCGUGGGUUCAAAUCCCACCUUAUCCU